GAUGAAGAACGCAGCGAAAUGCGAUAAGUAAUGUGAAUUGCAGAAUUCGGUGAAUCAUCGAAUCUUUGAACGCAUCUUGCGCUCCUUGGUAUUCUGAGGAGCAUGCCUGUUUGAGUGUCAUUAAAUUCUCAACUACACUGACUUUGAAUUGGUGUGGCUUGGAUUUGGGGGGAAAAUUGUUGUGGGCUUUUUGUAUAGUCUGCUCCCCUGAAAUUGAUUAGCGGUACCUUUGUGGAACUGUCUACAGGUGUGAUAAUUAUCUACAUCUUAGACAUCUGCUGGAAUGCUGCUUUCUAAACCUUACUUGUAUUGACAAUCUUGACCUCAAAUCAGGUAGGACUACCCGCUGAACUUAAGCAUAUCAAUAAGCGGAGGA
rnacentral:misc_RNA from 1 species